rnacentral:misc_RNA from 1 species
GAUGAAGAUCGUAGUGAAAUGCGAUAAGUAAUGCGAAUUGCAGAAUUUCCGUGAGUCAUCGAAUCUUUGAACGCACAUUGCGCCCACUGGUAUUCCGGUGGGCAUGCCUGUUCGAGCGUCAUUAUCCUCCCUCAAACCUCGGGUUUGGUGUUGGACCCAAGUUGUGUGAACAACUGGUCUUAAAGACAAUGACGGCGUCCGUGGGACCCUCGGUGCAACGAGCUUUUAGGAGCACGCGUCGAGUUUCAAGGACCUUCCGGGCCGGUCUCCUUUACCAUUUUACAAGGUUGACCUCGGAUCAGGUAGGAAUACCCGCUGAACUUAAGCAUAUCAAUAAGCGGAGGA